rnacentral:rRNA from 1 species
GACGAACCGAGCGAACGUUGUUCGGAAUCACUGGGCUUAAAGGGCGCGUAGGCGGGUUCUCAAGUCCGGGGUGAAAUCCCACAGCUUAACUGUGGAACUGCCUCGGAUACUGGGUGCCUCGAGGGUGGUAGGGGUAUGCGGAACUAUCGGUGGAGCGGUGAAAUGCGUUGAUAUCGAUAGGAACUCCGGUGGCGAAGGCGGCAUACUGGACCGGCAUUGACGCUGAAGCGCGAAAGCUAGGGGAGCAAACGGG